GCUUUAUCACCCUCAUUACAGAAAAAUACUGGGGCUGACCUGCAGUUCCUGGUUCUCCUUCCCCCAGGCCUUGCCUUCUCCUCAGCAGUGCAGCUCCUAAUAAAACAAAGACAACACCAAGAGCUGCAAACUCUGCUGGUGGUACCCAAAUGUCAAGAGGAAACUGGGGACCAGCAUUGUUACAACAUCCAACAGGAUGAUUAGAAAAACACUGGUAAUUCCCCAUAGAGAUGCUGCAAAACAGCCUGCAAGCAAAGCAUUGAAGUGGACAGAAACAAGGGUGUAUGUAAUCAGGUUAGUCUUUGCAGACUGCUUUGUCAUCUGCACCUUGCCCUUCAUGGCUUAUUUGCUCUGGAAUAAGUCAGCCCGGGAGGAACUCUGCCAGUUUACAGAGACAACGUAUUUCAUCAACAUGUUAGUGAGUAUCUGUGUACUUACAUUGAUCUCCACUGACCAAAACAUUGCCUUAAAAUGCCCCUUGACAGCCAGGGCCUUCAUGUCUCCAUCAAAGGGAGCUUCUGGGAUAAUUGGUGCCACUGCACUGAUUUGACAGAGCCAAUCCACCCUCUGCUUCCAGAAGGAUACCACCGUGCCUGCUGCUCUGAGCCUGCUUUCCAUGUUCUUCGUUUUUAUUCUUCCAUCAGCAAUCUUGACAAUCUAAGAGACUGGUUCAAGUGGAAUAAGUAAUUGCCCUCUCGUAUUAUUGUGUAUCGUGAUGGUGUAGGAGAUGGACAACUAUAUACUUUGGUUAAUUAUGAAGUGCCUCAAUUUCUGGAUUGCUUGAAGAGUGUUGGUAAAGACUACAGACCAAGGCUUACUGUAAUAGUUGUGAAGAAACGAGUGAGUACCAGGUUCUUUGCAGAAAGUAUGGGAGCACUUAAAAACCCACCCCCUGGUACUGUUGUUGAUGUGGAGGUUACCAGACCAGAAUGGGUGUUAUCAGAGUACCUGCUCCCUGCCAGUAUGCUCAUAAACUGGCUUUCCUUGUUGGUCAGAGCAUUCACAGAGAGCCAAACCUGUUACUUUCAGACAGACUCUACUAUCUUUGAAGUUGAGUUACCAGCUGAAGAAAACAUUGUAGUUCCUUUCUGGGGUAUGGGAAAUUGGUUUGGUUUGGUUUCCUUCUGAAGGCACAUGUGCAUGGCAUAUUGAGCAUGUGCAGUUGUGGAAGUUUUUCAUGGUAGCAGGAAGAAGCUUGAGAUAGCAGUCUGCAUCGUGCAUCUGCUACCUAUAAAAAUUGCACUACUUGGCAUUAUUUUUAAUGCUUAAUAGAGUUUCUGUGUUUCUUCACAAAGGUUAUCUGUUCUUACGUUUUAGGGAAGCCUUACACAGAAUAAUUAGCAUUCAGGCUAGCAUAUUACACUGUCAAAUUUCAAAAUGCAGUUGUUGAUUCCUUGUUUUUCUUGGCUAUUGAAAUGAGGGCAGAAUUAUUUCUGUAUCUUAUCGCAGCUCCAGGAACACAUUUAUGAGCCAAGGCUAGGGAAUGGUUUCAACAAAAAGGUAUGGCUUAGAACUGGAAUGCUGUUGUGGGGGUCUUGUGACUUGUACUGGACUGUCCUGCUGAGGUGCUUUUUCUUAGUCUUGUCACUUCCUAGUUACAACAGAGUGUGAGUAAAUUGUAGUUCUACAGCUGCCCAUUUGUAAUUGGAAAGAACUAAACCUCUUGGUUGAUACUGUUUAAGGGCAUUCUUGUUAAACAUAAUUUCCGUAAAAGAAUGUAAGUGCACUGAUGAGCAAGAAAGUAAGUGGAUGGUUUUUGGCUUCACAGCACAGUUCCCAGUCAUGAGCAGCGCUUGGGCCUGGGUGUGCCUAAUUUGGAUUAGUGCUGGUUUGGGGUUUUUUUUUUACUAAUGCAUGUUGAACUCUGUUCCUUAA